UGUUACCAUCUUCAAACAAAAGUACUGAGUAAGAAAUUAUACCUUUUGUCUGAAGAUAGUAACA